rnacentral:rRNA from 1 species
GACGAACGCUGGCGGCACGCUUAACACAUGCAAGUCGAACGGAGAUAAUUUGAGUUUACUUAGGUUAUCUUAGUGGCGGACGGGUGAGUAACACGUGAGCAACCUACCUUAGAGAGAGGGAUAGCUUCUGGAAACGGAUGGUAAUACCUCAUAACAUAACUGAACCGCAUGAUUUGGUUAUCAAAGAUUUAUCACUCUGAGAUGGGCUCGCGUCUGAUUAGAUAGUUGGUGAGGUAACGGCUCACCAAGUCGACGAUCAGUAGCCGGACUGAGAGGUUGAACGGCCACAUUGGGACUGAGACACGGCCCAGACUCCUACGGGAGGCAGCAGUGGGGAAUAUUGCACAAUGGGGGAAACCCUGAUGCAGCGAUGCCGCGUGGAGGAAGAAGGUUUUCGGAUUGUAACACUCCUGUCUUAAAGGACGAUAAUGACGGUACUAGACG